ACAAGUCUGAUCCAGCAAUUCUGUGUGUUUGAUGAAGGCCUUCGGGUUGUAAAGAACUUUCAGUGGGGAAGAAGCAAGUGACGGUACCCACAGAAGAAGCGACGGCUAAAUACGUGCCAGCAGCCGCGGUAAUG
rnacentral:rRNA from 1 species